CCUACGGGAGGCAGCAGUGAGGAAUAUUGGUCAAUGGGCGCGAGCCUGAACCAGCCAAGUCGCGUGAGGGAUGACGGUCCUACGGAUUGUAAACCUCUUUUGCCGGGGAGCAAGCGUGCGUUCGUGAACGCGCGUCGAGAGUACCCGGAGAAAAAGCAUCGGCUAACUCCGUGCCAGCAGCCGCGGUAAUACGGAGGAUGCGAGCGGUAUCCGGAUUUAUUGGGUUUAAGGGGUGCGCAGGCGGAUUUUUAAGUCAGCGGUAAAAUCGUGGGGCUCAACCCCAUCCAGCCGUUGAAACUGGGGAACUAGAGUGUGCGAGAGGUAUGCGGAAUGCGUGGUGUAGCGGUGAAAUGCAUAGAUAUCACGCAGAACCCCGAUUGCGAAGGCAGCAUACCGGUGCACAACUGACGCUCAGGCACGAAAGCGUGGGUAUCGAACAGGAUUAGAUACCCUAGUAGUC
rnacentral:rRNA from 1 species